rnacentral:rRNA from 1 species
GACGAACGCUGGCGGCGUGCUUAACACAUGCAAGUCGAACGGAAAGGCCCUGCUUUUGUGUGGUGCUCGAGUGGCGAACGGGUGAGUAACACGUGAGUAACCUGCCCUUGACUUUGGGAUAACUUCAGGAAACUGGGGCUAAUACCGGAUAGGAGCUCCUGCUGCAUGGUGGGGGUUGGAAAGUUUCGGCGGUUGGGGAUGGACUCGCGGCUUAUCAGCUUGUUGGUGGGGGAGUGGCUUACCAAGGCUUUGACGGGUAGCCGGCCUGAGAGGGUGACCGGCCACAUUGGGACUGAGAUACGGACCAGACUCCUACGGGAGGCAGCAGUGGGGAAUAUUGCACAAUGGGCGGAAGCCUGAUGCAGCAACGCCGCGUGCGGGAUGACGGCCUUCGGGUUGUAAACCGCUUUCGCCUGUGACGAAGCGUGAGUGACGGUAAUGGGUAAAGAAGCACCGGCUAACUACGUG